rnacentral:rRNA from 1 species
UGCGUAGGCGGCUUUUUAAGUCGGAUGUGAAAUCCCUGAGCUUAACUUAGGAAUUGCAUUCGAUACUGGAAAGCUAGAGUAUGGGAGAGGAUGGUAGAAUUCCAGGUGUAGCGGUGAAAUGCGUAGAGAUCUGGAGGAAUACCGAUGGCGAAGGCAGCCAUCUGGCCUAAUACUGACGCUGAGGUACGAAAGCAUGGGGAGCAAACAGGAUUAGGCCAGAUGGCUGCCUUCGC